rnacentral:rRNA from 1 species
AUGCUAACCGAGUAUUUUGAAGCAAACAAGAAGUAUGAGUUGCCCCGGGGAAUUUUAUAUAAGGAUUUUCCGGCAUCUUUUAUUUGGAUCUCGGGUGGAAAGUAUUGGAAAAGGAGGGAUGAACGCACACAGAUCGGGAGAAUUGUGUCUGCUCAUCCAGCCGAAGGGGAGAGGUAUUAUCUUAGAGUGCUUCUAAACCAUGUCACAGGUGCUACAUCUUUCCAAGACCUAAGGACAGUGGAUGGUAUUGUUUUCCCGACAUUUCGUGAAGCUGCUGAAAGGAGGGGUCUUAUCGAGUCAGAUAAUACUAUUGACGAGUGUCUUAAUGAAGCUGAGGUUUUUCAGAUGCCAUCUUCCCUUCGAAGGCUAUUUGCCACUAUAUUGGUCUUUUGUGAGCCUAGCAAUGUGUGUGGUCUAUGGGACAGGCACUUGGAAGCUAUGACAGAAGACUAUCGACUAAACCACAUGUCCCCUCAUGCAGUUGAGCAGAUGGCUUUGUUAGAUAUAAAAAGUAUGCUUGAAUCGAUGGGGAAGGACAUAUCAUCAUUCCCUCUUCCAGAAAUUGAUGAGUCGUAUGAUGGCUCAAAUAACGAGGCUAGGGAGAUCACAGAGGAGUCGACGAUAGGGGUGAACCCAGAACACCUUGGCUUUUCAUCUUUCCUAAACCCAGAACAGAGAUAUGCAUAUGAUGAGGUACUUGCAACAAUCAAUAGUGGCCAAGGAGGUGUGUUCUUU